rnacentral:rRNA from 1 species
AACGUGUCCAGUAGCGGGGGAUAACCUGUCGAAAGAUAGGCUAAUACCGCAUACGACCUACGGGUGAAAGCGGGGGACCGCAAGGCCUCGCACUGUUGGAGCGGCCGAUGUCGGAUUAGCUUGUUGGCGGGGUAACGGCCCACCAAGGCGACGAUCCGUAGCUGGUCUGAGAGGACGACCAGCCACACUGGAACUGAGACACGGUCCAGACUCCUACGGGAGGCAGCAGUGGGGAAUUUUGGACAAUGGGCGCAAGCCUGAUCCAGCCAUGCCGCGUGAGUGAAGAAGGCCUUCGGGUUGUAAAGCUCUUUCGGCGGGGACGAAACGGUCCGUGCCAACACCACGGACUAAUGACGGUACUCGCAGAAGAAGCACCGGCUAACUACGUGCCAGCAGCCGCGGUAAUACGUAGGGUGCGGGCGUUAAUCGGAAUUACUGGGCGUAAAGCGUGCGCAGGCGGCUCCUUAAGUCAGAUGUGAAAUCCCCGGGCUUAACCUGGGAACUGCGUUUGAAACUGAGGGGCUCGAGUGUGGAAGAGGGGGGUGGAAUUCCAGGUGUAGCAGUGAAAUGCGUAGAGAUCUGGAGGAACACCGAUGGCGAAGGCAGCCCCCUGGGCUAACACUGACGCUCAUGCACGAAAGCGUGGGGAGCAAACAGGAUUAGAUACCCUGGUAGUCC